AAAGACUUGACGGUACUUCACAACAACCUAGAGGAGCCUGUCCAAUAACCGAUACCCCACGAUUAACCCUACCUGCCCUAGCCAUAACAGUCUAUAUACCGCCGUCGCCAGCUUACCUUAUGAAAGAAACAAAGUGAGCCCAACAACAACACAUUAACACGACAGGUCGAGGUGUAACUAAUGAGCAGGCCAAAGAUGGGCUACAUUUUCCUAAACAGAAAAUACGAAUNCAACUAUGAAAUUAGAAACUGAAGGUGGAUUUAGCAGUAAGCUAACAAUAAAAUACUUAGCUAAAACUAUAGCAAUGAAGUGCGUACACACCGCCCGUCAUCCCUG
rnacentral:rRNA from 1 species